rnacentral:rRNA from 1 species
CGAAGGGGGCGAGCGUUGUUCGGAAUCACUGGGCGUAAAGCGUGCGUAGGUGGCGAGGAAAGUUAGGAGUGAAAGCCCAGGGCUCAACCUUGGAAUUGCUUUUAAAACUCCCUUGCUCGAAUCUCGGAGAGGAUAGCGGAAUUGUCAGUGUAGCAGUGAAAUGCGUAGAUAUUGACAGGAACACCAGUGGCGUAAGCGGCUAUCUGGACGAGUAUUGACACUGAGGCACGAAAGCGUGGGGAUCAAACAGGAUUAGAUACCCUGGUAGUCCACGCUGUAAACGAUGUGUGUUUGUCGCUGGGGGGUUUACCUCUCGGUGACGGAGCUAACGCGUUAAGCACACCGCCUGGGAAGUACGGUCGCAAGAUUA